AUGCGUCCUUUUCCCGUUGUCUGGAGCGGGAUGCUUCUGGCUACCUUGUGCACAGAUGCCAGCUUGGUGGAGCAAAACCCCAGAUGGAUCCUGGCCCCUUCGGGACAGGCUGUGACCCUGCGGUGCAUCCUGAAGGACACCCAGUACCCCUGGAUGGGCUGGUAUCAGCAGGAUCUCCAGGGGCAGCUCCAGCUGCUGGGCACUCUGCGGAACACUGGAGACACAGAGAAGAUAUCCCUGGCUGGUGCCAACUACCAGCUCACUCGGAGCAGUGCCACGGAACUGAGCCUGCAAGUCACCGACGCGACCCAGAGCAGGACCCUGUUCUGCACCUGCAGCAAAGGCACAGCGAGAAGCCGUCACUGA